UACGAAGGGGGCUAGCGUUGUUCGGAAUUAGCUGGGCGUAAAGCGCGUGUAGGCGGUACUUCAAGUCAGGCGUGAAAGCCCCGGGCUCAACCUGGGAACCGCGCUUGAGACUGGAGAACUAGAGUUCGGGAGAGGAUGGUGGAAUUCCCAGUGUAGAGGUGAAAUUCGUAGAUAUUGGGAAGAACACCGAUGGCGAAGGGCAGCCAUCUGGACCGACACUGACGCUGAGGCGCGAAAGCGUGGGGAGCAAACAGG
rnacentral:rRNA from 1 species